rnacentral:rRNA from 1 species
GAUGAACGCUGGCGGCGUGCCUAAUACAUGCAAGUCGAGCGAACGGACGAGAAGCUUGCUUCUCUGAUGUUAGCGGCGGACGGGUGAGUAACACGUGGAUAACCUACCUAUAAGACUGGGAUAACUUCGGGAAACCGGAGCUAAUACCGGAUGAUAUUUUGAACCGCAUGGUUCAAAAGUGAAAGACGGUCUUGCUGUCACUUAUAGAUGGAUCCGCGCUGCAUUAGCUAGUUGGUAAGGUAACGGCUUACCAAGGCAACGAUGCAUAGCCGACCUGAGAGGGUGGUCGGCCGCCCUGGAACGGAGACAGGGUCCAGGCUCCUGCGGGAGGCAGCAGUAGGGAAUCUUCCGCAAUGGGCGAGAGCCUGACGGAGCAAGGCGAAGUGAGUGAUGAAGGUCUUCGGAGCGUGAUGCUCGGUUAUUGGGGGAAAACAUAUGUGGAAGUAGCUGUGCACAUCUUGACGGUACCUAAUCAGAAAGCCACGGCUAACUACGUG